rnacentral:snRNA from 1 species
AGUGGCUGGGGUCAAUGUAACGUCUAAUUCCCUCGCCUUUUACUAGGGGAUUCCGUGUGUUGGCCCCAUCUUGUAGCCAUACUCCGUAUUUUUCAGAACAAUGCUUCCUUUGGAAGUU